AUCAGGGAAGACAAAGGGACAACCCCACACACAAUACAGCAACGUGGAGUCUGCAGGAAAACUCAGUAAAGCAGUGUGGAGAAAGAAUACUCCAAAGUGGCAUGAAUUAUACACUGAGAGUGUCACAGCUUCAUUUGUAUUCUUCACUUUACUCAGCAGCAUUCUCAGCACUUACUGUGCCCGUGACAUCACCUGAGAGAAACUUCUAAAGGCUCUGUGGGACAUACACUUGCUAGUAAGACAUUCUGAUGGCAAAAGGUUUGUGCAAGUAUAACUCAGAGUGUAAACUGGUCUGAAGAAUCUGAAUUGUUGUUGAUGAAGCAGAAGUAGAGUUGAGGGUGAGUCUGUGAGCUAGAAAAAUAUAUCUUCUUUUAUUCUAAACAUAAAGAAAUCUGGUAUUUGCAUCUGCAGGAGAAUGAACUGGCAGCCCAAAGUGACUUAGUGCUGAAUAACUUUUCCAAUAACUAUCUGAGCUGCAAUGAGAUAAUAAUGCACCAGGUCUUUAGAGGGCAAGAGUUGGUGAUUCAGUCUCUGUGUGAUGCAGGUGGCUCCUACUCCACCCACAUAUAAAAGGGGAUGGUGUGGCUCCUGUAAGGACAGAUGAGCCUUUGCGAUUGAGAAGUUUGAAAGCAGUCAAAUUGCAAGAGGCUUAAGGUUCUGUUUUCUGUGAAUCCCCUUUAAGGACAGGAAAGCUUUAGGAAGGGGGCAACUGUGGAAAUUUGGGUGGAAAUGCUGGUGAUAGUGCAGGGUAAGAGCUAGCCUAUUGUAUGAUCAUACCAACACAUGGACCAGAAUGCAACUUCACACAGCUUUUAAAGUCACAGGGAUGUCAUAUUUGGUGGGUUCUUGUUGGGGAUGAGGGUGUUGCAGAGAUGGCUGCAGGCUGCCAAGUUGUACAAUUCUACUUAGAUGGCUUCAUAUCAAGAAAUAGUAAUGAAUGAGUAAACUUACUGUACUGAGCAACCCACUAAACUGUACAGAGUAGCAAAACUAGCUCCCUCUUUUGGUCUGCUGGAAAUAAUGAAGUGAAACAAGUUCUAUAGUUGCAUAAGAACAACUUGACUUUCUUACACAAGAACAAAUUGUCUAUUGCUUCCCUAAGUAAUCACCUUUCCUAAGCAAGUUGUGUUUGUUACCUGCCAUUUUGUCUGGUCACUAAUAAAUGGUUGGUGUGCACAGA